AUGCAAAACGGCGGCGGCGGCUGGAGCUUGCAGGGGCCGGAUCCGUGCGCGGUGGGGGCUGGGGAUGUGGAUCCGAAGGCGGGCGGCGUGGGGGGGAUCGCCGGUGACAACGAGGAAGGCCGGAGCGCGGCUUCCCUUGUGGGUUCAUGGCAUCCACAGCUAUUGGGUAGAGAGGAGACAAGGAGGCGAGGGAGAGAAGAAGGGACAAAGGAAGAGCGGUGCGGUGACCUAGGCAGGAGCUCGCUGGAGCCGGGCGAUGGCGGACGGGCGCGGGAGACGGAGAGAUCCCGUGUGGCGGCGCGAAGUCCUUGCUGGUGGCGUCGACGGCUGGGCGUGCGACAUCACGGAGCCCUCCCGUUGCUACGGCGUCCGGUGGAGUGCCCUGAGGGCGCGGAUGCUGCUGCUGCACCAGCACCACCAGCCCAAGUAAUUUACAAAGCUCUAGUUGGUCAAUACAGCCUACAUGUUUUUUUUGAAUAG
rnacentral:rRNA from 1 species